GGGCCCGCACAAGCGGUGGAGCAUGUGGUUUAAUUCGAUGAUACGCGAGGAACCUUACCAGGGUUUAAAUGCAGAACGACAGGGGUGGAAACACCCCCUUCUUCGGACGGACUGCAAGGUGCUGCAUGGUUGUCGUCAGCUCGUGCUGUGAAGUGUCGGGUUAAGUCCCAUAACGAGCGCAACCCCCAUUUCUAGUUGCCAGCGGUUCGGCCGGGGACUCUAGAGAAACUGCCAGCGUAAGCUGUGAGGAAGGUGGGGAUGACGUCAAAUCAUCACGGCCUUACAUCCUGGGCCACACACGUGCUACAAUGGUCGGUACAGAGAGCAGCCACUACGCGAGUAGGAG
rnacentral:rRNA from 1 species